UGGGGAAUAUUGCACAAUGGGCGCAAGCCUGAUGCAGCCAUGCCGCGUGUGUGAAGAAGGCCUUCGGGUUGUAAAGCACUUUCAGCGGGGAGGAAGGCGACACGGUUAAUAACCGUGUUGAUUGACGUUACCCGCAGAAGAAGCACCGGCUAACUCCGUGCCAGCAGCCGCGGUAAUACGUAGGGUGCGAGCGUUAAUCGGAAUUACUGGGCGUAAAGCGUGCGCAGGCGGUCUUGUAAGACAGUCGUGAAAGCCCCGGGCUUAACCUGGGAACUGCAUUCAAAACUGACUGACUAGAGUAUGGUAGAGGGUGGUGGAAUUUCCUGUGUAGCGGUGAAAUGCGUAGAUAUAGGAAGGAACACCAGUGGCGAAGGCGACCACCUGGACUGAUACUGACACUGAGGUGCGAAAGCGUGGGGAGCAAACA
rnacentral:rRNA from 1 species